GGACAACAUGUAAACAUGCAGAAAUCAUCUAUAUUUUUUGGCAAGGGGUGCCAGGAGGAAGCAAAGGUUGAGCUCAAGGGGGUUCUUGGUGUUGAUUCGGAGGCGCUAAGUGAAAGGUACCUUGGGCUACCAACACUAGUUGGUAGAUCCAAGGAGGGCACUUUUAAGUAUGUCAAUGAGAGCUCUAAGACAAAAAUAAGUGCUUGGUAA
rnacentral:rRNA from 1 species